AUUAAUAAGCGGAGGAAAAGAAACUAACAAGGAUUCCCUUAGUAACGGCGAGUGAAGCGGGAAGAAGCCCAGCACCGAAUCCCACGCCAUACAGGCGGCGGGAACUGUGGUGUUAAGGACGACCUCUCGCGGAGCGUCCGGACGUCCGAGUCCUCCUGAUUGGGGCUUCGCCCAGAGCGGGUGUCAGGCCUCUACGACGUCUGGACGUUUCGCUUCGGGAGUCCUAGGAGUCGGGUUGUUUGAGAAUGCAGCCCAAAGCGGGUGGUAAACUCCAUCUAAGGCUAAAUACGGGCACGAGUCCGAUAGCGAACAAGUACCGUGAGGGAAAGUU
rnacentral:rRNA from 1 species